rnacentral:rRNA from 1 species
AGCUCCAAUAGCGUAUAUUAAAGUUGUUGCAGUUAAAAAGCUCGUAGUUGGAUCUCAGGGUGAGCUCAGUUGGUCGGCCUAAUUGGUCAGAACUGGCUGUCUCUCCCUUGUUUCUGAAUCCCGGUCGGAGUUAAUUCUUCGUUCGUGGACUUCAGAUCGUUUACCUUGAAAAAAUUAGAGUGUUCAAAGCGGGCGUUUGCUUGAAUACAUUAGCAUGGAAUAAUGGAAUAGGACUUUUGGUUUUAUUUUGUUGGUUUUGAGGACCAGAUUAAUAGGGAUAGUUGGGGGCAUUCAUAUUUAAUUGUCAGAGGUGAAAUUCUUGGAUUUAUGAAAGAUGAACUUCUGCGAAAGCAUUUGCCAAGGAUGUUUUCA